UAGGGAAUCUUCCGCAAUGGGCGAAAGCCUGACGGAGCAACGCCGCGUGAGUGAUGAAGGUCUUCGGAUCGUAAAACUCUGUUAUUAGGGAAGAACAAAUGUGUAAGUAACUAUGCACGUCUUGACGGUACCUAAUCAGAAAGCCACGGCUAACUACGUGCCAGCAGCCGCGGUAAUACGUAGGUGGCAAGCGUUAUCCGGAAUUAUUGGGCGUAAAGCGCGCGUAGGCGGUUUUUUAAGUCUGAUGUGAAAGCCCACGGCUCAACCGUGGAGGGUCAUUGGAAACUGGAAAACUUGAGUGCAGAAGAGGAAAGUGGAAUUCCAUGUGUAGAGGUGAAAUGCGCAGAGAUAUGGAGGAACACCAGUGGCGAAGGCGACUUUCUGGUCUGUAACUGACGCUGAUGUGCGAAAGCGUGGGGAUCAAACAGG
rnacentral:rRNA from 1 species